UACGUAGGCAGCGAGCGUUGUUCGGAUUUACUGGGCGUAAAGGGUGUGUAGGCGGUUGUUUAAGUUUGGUGUGAAAUCUCCCGGCUCAACUGGGAGGGUGCGCCGAAUACUGAAUGACUAGAGUGCGGGAGAGGAAAGUGGAAUUCCUGGUGUAGCGGUGAAAUGCGUAGAUAUCAGGAGGAACACCGGUGGUGUAGACGGCUUUCUGGACCGUAACUGACGCUGAAACACGAAAGCGUGGGUAGCAAACAGG
rnacentral:rRNA from 1 species